rnacentral:rRNA from 1 species
UGGGGAAUAUUGGACAAUGGGCGCAAGCCUGAUCCAGCCAUGCCGCGUGUGUGAAGAAGGCCUUCGGGUUGUAAAGCACUUUUGUACGGGAAGAAAAGCUCUGGGUUAAUACCCUGGAGUCAUGACGGUACCGUAAGAAUAAGCACCGGCUAACUUCGUGCCAGCAGCCGCGGUAAUACGAAGGGUGCAAGCGUUACUCGGAAUUACUGGGCGUAAAGCGUGCGUAGGUGGUUUGUUAAGUCUGAUGUGAAAGCCCUGGGCUCAACCUGGGAAUUGCAUUGGAUACUGGCAGUCUAGAGUGCGGUAGAGGGUAGCGGAAUUCCCGGUGUAGCAGUGAAAUGCGUAGAUAUCGGGAGGAACAUCCGUGGCGAAGGCGGCUACCUGGACCAGCACUGACACUGAGGCACGAAAGCGUGGGGAGCAAACAG